rnacentral:sRNA from 1 species
GCCAGGCAUGGUGGUGCAUGCCUGUAAUCCCAGCUACUUGGGAGGCUGAGGCGGGAGAAUCACUUGGACCCAGGAGGUGAAGGCUGAAGCCAGUUAAGAUCGUGCCACUGCACUCCAGCCUGGGUGACAGAGACUCCAUCUCAAAAAAAAGGUCAGGCGCAGGGGCUCAUGCCUGUAAUCGUAGCACUGGGAUGCUGAGGCGAGUGGAUUGCCUAAGCUCAGGAGUUCGAGACCAGCCUGGGUAACACGGUGAAACCCCGUUUCU